GACCUGGGAGUCUCCCAGCCAGGCCACAUACAAAGUCCGACCUCGCAGGAACGUCACCACCCCCGUCGUGCCGCAACGCAGUUUCAUACUUCUACUCCACCACAUCUCAAAAGAUUCCUGAGGCCAGACUAUCUGGAGGUUUCCAGCAGCCGCAGUCCUGAAUGGAGAGCAGUUGCCCAGAGCUUCGAGGAACAGUGGCAUUUUCCCAACUGUUUGGGUGUACUGUUUUUUUUUUUUUUUUUGCUUUCCGUUUGAUCUGAGGGGAUGUGAU